rnacentral:tRNA from 1 species
GCGCCAGUAGCUCAGUUGGAUAGAGCAAGCGCCUUCUAAGCGCUAGGUCAAAGGUUCGAAUCCUUUCUGGCGUA